rnacentral:rRNA from 1 species
AAAUGUGCACUCCGAAACCUCAUACCCCUGCUGCAUCUAUUGUAGUCCAGCAUUAAGGGAGAACUUAGUUCUUCUGCUGUGACUAUGUUUUUAUACACUCUUAUAAUUUAUAGAAUGUCCAUAGACCAUAACAAGUCUAAAAACAUAAUAUAACUUUCAACAACGGAUCUCUUGGUUCUCGCAUCGAUGAAGAACGCAGCGAAUUGCGAUAUGUAAUGUGAAUUGCAGAAUUCAGUGAAUCAUCGAAUCUUUGAACGCACAUUGCACCCUCUGGUAUUCCGGAGGGUAUGCCUGUUUGAGUGUCAUUAAUCUCUCAACUCAAUCAAGUUUAUUCUUGUAUUGAGCUUGGAUCUUGAAGGUUGCUGGUGUAAUAAUCAGCUCCUUUAAAAUAUAUUAGUGGAACUAUGAAGGACCAGCCUCGGUUUGAUAAUCCUAUCUAUGCUGUCGCUGAGAAUUAUUUGAUCUGCUUAUAAUAGUCCUUUAGGACUGUCUCUUAUGAGGCAUACAUUUGACUCUUGACCUCAAAUCAGGUAGGACUACCCGCUGAACUUAAGCAUAUCAAUAAGCGGAGGAAAAGAAACUAACAAGGAUUCCCCUAGUAACUGCGAGUGAAGAGGGAAAAGCUCAAAUUUAAAAUCUGGCAGCCCUUGGUUGUCCGAGU